UUAUAUUAAAAUUUCUGCAUUUAAAUAUGAAUCUUAAUCCAACAUCGAGGUCGCAAACUUUUUUAUCCAUAAGAACUCUCCAAAAAAAUUACGCUACUUUAAGGAUAACC